CGCCGCCCGCCCGAGAGCGCCCGGUUCUGGGGCGCGCGUGCACGCGAGAGCGUCGCUGACCUUAAGUCAGAGUUGGGACCGUGAGUAGGGUGUCAGGAAUGAAACCCAGGUUCCCAUACAUCCCAGGAUCCCUUUAAUUCUUAAUCUAUUGAAUCCAGACAUGCUCAAACUAGUACGAAUGUACACAUAUGGAGAAAGACAGAAGAGGGGCACGGACAGAGAGACGGAGAGGGAGUUUAAGGAAUUAGCUCACAACGGGACAGAACGAAACAAAACAAACAACCAACAAUGAACCCUCCAUCCUCCAUCCUCCAUCCUGUAAACUUGGCAGAUAAUGCCUACUACAUUGAAAACCCCAGAAGCAGCAACAGAGCCCUUUCUUUGGCAAUGUAGCAGGAGAUAUCACAGCGGUCGGCUAGGAGAACGAAAUGGGGAGAGAAAGGUCCAGCAAAAGUAGAGGGGCACUGUUUGUCCUGCUUGUCUUGUUUGUUUUUUAACUACAAAGCUUUGAUGAAAAUAAACUCAGUGAAAGAUCA